rnacentral:rRNA from 1 species
UACGUAGGGUGCAAGCGUUAAUCGGAAUUACUGGGCGUAAAGCGUGCGCAGGCGGUUAUGUAAGACAGAUGUGAAAUGCCCGGGCUUAACCUGGGAACUGCAUUUGUGACUGCAUGGCUAGAGUUUGGCAGAGGGGGGUAGAAUUCCACGUGUAGCAGUGAAAUUCGUAGAUAUGUGGAGGAACACCGAUGGCGAAGGCAGCCCCCUGGGUCAAGACUGACGCUCAUGCACGAAAGCGUGGGGAGCAAACAGG